GCCUUCGUGGUGUAGCGGUCAGCACAUUCGACGCGUAACCGAGACGUCCGUGGUUCGAUUCCCGGCGAAGACG
rfam:Stegodyphus mimosarum contig10835, whole genome shotgun sequence.